GGCAAACUCAAAAGGUAUAAACCUCACACGGAGAACUUUCUGGAAAAUUAAAGUGAGUGCAUACUGGCGUUAAGAGCACUCUGCCUGGAAAUCAGAACAAGCAGGGCAUAAGCCCGCCUCCAGGAUGACGUGUCUGCGUAUGGAUAUCAGUUGCCAGAGAAACCUGGCUUUACUAUGGCGGUUGGAGAGUCGGCAGUGAGCACACGUCGUCUGUCGGAAAGAACUGGAUCCUCGUUUCAGACUACCAUCAGAAAAUCUAAGUUUGCUGUGUAGUGAGGAUCAGGUCUGAUCCUGAUUGCAGAACAAUCCUCAUUACAGAAUCUUGGGUUGUGUCUCUCACCUCAUCUCCACGACCAUCCCAGAAGAUCUAUAAGAUUCCAUCUGGGAAAACACUAAGAGUUCUUGGCAGGGAAAGAAGAGGAUUGCGUAAGUCAAAGGACUUGUUUAAUCGGUCAUUCCGUAAGAAUCAUAGAACACUGUUGUUUUCAUCUUUAUCUCACUAACCCUCUCUGCUGCAUUUUACAGUGUAAAUCAUCUUUUUCUUUGAAAUUCUCAACUUUUUUGGAUUCCAAAAUAACUGUCUUAAUUCUCCUAUGGCUGCUCUGACCAUUUUUGCUUGUGGGGUUUUUUUUGGGGGGGAGUGUUUGGUAGUCUUUCUCUCUGCUCAUCCCUUAAGUAUAUUUCUUUCUUAGGUUUGUCCAGAAUUCUAGACUUGUUCGGUUCUUCGUCUAUCCUCCAUGAACGAUUUCUAUUCCUGUCUAUAUGAUGAUUACACUCAGGUCUCCAUUUCUGCUUCUGACCUCUCACCUAAGUUAAAGUUACAUGUUUAACUGCAUACCUCACACUUACUAGGUCUAUGCCAAACUUCUUUCCUCUCCAGUCUGUUUCCUCUUCUAGAUGCAGUCUUAUUUGGCGAUAAUACUAUGACCUAAUCACCCAUUCUCAAAACCCUGGCAGUCAUCACUGACUUUAUCCCUCACCAAUUUAUCACCUCCAACAAGCUAUCGCUGAAAGUAGCAUUAGGUACCAUUUCUUGUUUGCUCCAAAAAUAUCCUGUGUUUAUAUAACUAUCACUGUACUAAUCUUGUUGUUUCAUAAUUGUCACUUUAGAUAUUCGAAUCCCUAAUACCUAGCAUAAUAUCUGUUCUAAAGUACAUAAGCAGUAAUAUAUGAAGACUAACUUGAAUGAAUUAAUUGUUUCCUAUUUUAUUACUAAUUCCAAACUAACCAUUAAAAAAUAGUGCUUUACUAAUUCAUUAAUUACCCAGACCUAAAAUUGUAGGGCCACCUUUGACUCCUGUCUCGCCUUCAUUUACCAAGUUCUAUAUUCACUUUCUCUUGACUGUCAUCAGCCUAGUUCAGGCCUGCCUGGACUUACACAAAAACCUUUGCUGGUACGCAUUUUGCUUCCAGGCAGCUAAAUUAAUCUUUCUUGUUUCUUUUGUCUUGUCAUUUUUCCUGUUCAGAAAUCCUGAAUUUCACCUCCACUGCUUUUUGUAGUUUAAUUCAAUCUUUCUCUGAAAUUAUAUUCCUGUCUUUUGAGUGACAUCAAAAAACUAAUUUAUGGGCAGGUCUAAUGAGUGACUGGGUAGGCUGAGAGUAGUGGGUGGGGGUAGUGAGGAUCAGAGAGCGAGCAAAGAGGUAGUAAGUCACUAGCAAUUAAUUGGUUGGCCCUGAAAUAGGAUUUGAAAUCCAGAUUCCAAGAGAGUAGUGUGUGUUGUACUUUAAUAGGCCUUUGGAAGCACACUGUGUUCAAGGUCUCCAUAGAAAACAACCAAAUAAAAUGUUUUAUAUAUUACAGUGGU
rnacentral:lncRNA from 1 species